rnacentral:rRNA from 16 species
GGAUGCGAUCAUACCAGCACUAAAGCACCGGAUCCCAUCAGAACUCCGAAGUUAAGCGCGCUUGGGCGAGAGUAGUACUAGGAUGGGUGACCUCCUCGGAAGUCCUCGUGUUGCAUUCC